rnacentral:rRNA from 1 species
AUUGAACGCUGGCGGCAUGCCUUACACAUGCAAGUCGAACGGUAACAGGUCUUCGGAUGCUGACGAGUGGCGAACGGGUGAGUAAUAUAUCGGAACGUGCCCAGUCGUGGGGGAUAACGCAGCGAAAGCUGUGCUAAUACCGCAUACGAUCUAUGGAUGAAAGCGGGGGAUCGCAAGACCUCGCGCGAUUGGAGCGGCCGAUAUCAGAUUAGGUAGUUGGUGGGGUAAAGGCCCACCAAGCCAACGAUCUGUAGCUGGUCUGAGAGGACGACCAGCCACACUGGAACUGAGACACGGUCCAGACUCCUACGGGAGGCAGCAGUGGGGAAUAUUGGGCAAUGGAGGAAACUCUGACCCAGCAACGCCGCGUGAAGGAAGAAGGUUUUCGGAUCGUAAACUUCUAUCCUUGGUGAAAAUAAAAGAUGGUAGCCAAGAAGGAAGCCCCGGCUAACUACGUG